rnacentral:rRNA from 1 species
UACAGAGGUCCCAAGCGUUGUUCGGAUUCACUGGGCGUAAAGGGUGCGUAGGCGGCCGGGUAAGUCUGAUGUGAAGUCUCACAGCUUAACUGUGAAACUGCAUUGGAUACUAUCCGGCUCGAGGAAUGGAGGGGAGACUGGAAUACUUGGUGUAGCAGUGAAAUGCGUAGAUAUCAAGUGGAACACCAGUGGCGAAGGCGAGUCUCUGGACAUUUCCUGACGCUGAGGCACGAAAGCCAGGGGAGCAAACGGG